rnacentral:ncRNA from 2 species
UACACUCCGCCCGCCUAUGGUGCCCCGGCCGCAAAUCCGGGGUUAAAAGGGAACGCCCGGAGCGCAUGCUCUUUCUUCGAGGCGGCUGCCCCCGCAACUGUAAGCGGCGAGCUUUUUCCGAUUGUGCCACUGGAUGUCCGGGAAGGCAGGGAAGGGCGAAGACCCGCGAGCCAGGAAACCUGCCACAGGCUGUCGUCCGUC